AAAUAUAUAUAUAGUCAGUGAUAAUCGUCGGUGGAAUCGACAAAAAUUGCCACGUCCAAAGGAUCGACAGGAGGAUCAGUGAUGCCCGCCAACUGCACGUGACACGUGGAGACCUUUCCAAGCCUUUGUACGCCGACGACGA